UCAGGAUUCAAUCCGAGUGCUCUGGCUUCGACAGCAUCGUUUACCGGGCCAUCGAGCAUUCGCACGCCUGAGAACACGGAUGUGUUUUUAGAUACAUUACUGUGGAAAAAGUGUUAAAGGUUCCAAAAUAAUUCCAUUAUUCCGCGUGUUUCAAAGACGCUUACUCGGCUACCAAGUGACACAAAUAAGAAUCUAUAGCAACGCGAUGUCUAAAAGGAAGAAAGCUUUCCAAACACGACAAUCUUCAAAACCAGCCACCCUCUUCGUUCUUCGAACUUUACGUAAACACCUCGAAGGAUCAUAAUUCACCACACGAGGCAACCCCGACACCGCAAUAUUGGUUGAAAGCAACCGCUGCGACCUCGCCAGCGCAUCGUGUUCCAUGCUUGUUGUCACCGUUGUCCC